UAUUUUUUUUUUUUUUCUGUUUUGGUUUUCCCCAGUAUCCUUGUACUACUGGGAGACUUCUUAUGCAGUGGGGAAGGCCCCACCCAGUGACCUUUAACCCUUUCCCUGAACAGAUGGACAAAUGGAGCCAGGAAGGAAAGCAGGGUCAAGACAAAGGCCCUGGAAGAAGGUGUAGUUGUGCCUCUACAGAGGGAAAGUGGAGAGGCAAAGGUGAAGCAAUGGAGAAUCUUCCCCCAUAGCACGUGGAAGAUCAUUGGGCAAAAACACCAAGACAGAAGAACUGAGCUUCAAUCCCGGAUCCUACAUGGUGGAAGAAGAGAACCAACUCCUGUAAGUUCUCCUCUGACUUCCACAUGUGUAGGAGUGCAUGCACAUGCACACACACACGCACACACACACACACACACACACAGACACAUACACACAGACUCACACACGCACACACACACAGACACACACAGACUCACACACACAUACACACACACACGAACACUCAUACAUAUACAUACAUACAAAAACAUAUGUACCCAUACAUAUUCACACUCACAAUCAUGCAUAUAUACACACAUAAACAUAUACACACACAAACAUACAUCCAUGUACAAAACACAAACAAACAUAUAAACAUACCAAACAUACAUACAUAUUCAUACACACACAAGCAUGUAUAUAAACACACACAUUUAUAUACAUACAAACAUAUGUACACCCAGACAUACAUUCAUAUACAAACAUGCACAAACAUACAUCCAUAUACAACAUAUACAAACAUACAUACAUACACACAUACACACAAAUAUACACACAGAGAAACUCAAAAGUUUGUCUUAAUUAUAUUAUAGUCUUGCAUUUUGAAGGUGGAUCUAAAUAAUUUGAUGUUAAAAACAUGAAAGGGAAAAUAAAAGAUCAGAGAGUGGUGGCCCCACACCUUUAAUCGCAGCACUUGGAAGACAGAGGCAGGUGAGUCUCUGAGUUUGAGGCCAAUUUGUUCUACAGAGUGAGUUCCAGAACAGCCAGAGUUACGCAGAGAAAUCCUGUUUGGAAAAACCAAAGUGAACAACAAUAAAAAUAAAAUAAAAAGGUAUAUAAAAAGUAUAAAUUAGAGAGAAAAAUGGAGUGGAGUUGGAUAGCUAGAGAGGUGGGGUGGAUUUGAGAGGAGAUGAGGAAGGAGAAAUCAUAAUCAGAAUGUUACAUAAAAUUUUUUAUUUUCAAUAAAACAGUGAAAAAGUUCUUAAAAAGUGUAAGUUUAGUUGUUUUAAAGUAACAUUAUUUUUGUGUGUGUGAUUAUGUGUAUCUGUGUUUGUAUGGUGGGUGGAUAUAUGCUCAUAGAAUUACAAGGUCCCUCAGAGGCCUCAAGAGUCCUCUGGAAAUGGCCUUGCAGACAGUUGCAGGCUGCCCAACAUGAGUGCUGGGAGCUAAAUAACAGCAGCAAGGCCUCUCAGCCCCUUCAGUCACUCUCCAAGCCACAUUUUUAAUUUGUCACUGUGGUCUCUUAUAAGUUCUAAGUACUGCUAUUGGAUGGGCAAUGUCAGUCUACCCACCAAUUAGAUAAGUCGUCCUCUUAAAAAAAGGGAAUAACACUCGAAAUGUAAAUAAGAAAUACUCAAGUUAAUAAAAGAAAUUCAUUUUAUUAGCAAGGAACCCUAUGCAGCAUAAAGAUAAUUUCUUCUUUUUUGAAAAAGUGUCAAUCAAAACAUGAAAUGAGGUUUUUUCUUUUUCUUUUUUUUUUUUUUAGCAAUUUUCUAGGCUGAAAAAUCAAGAUCAGAAUAGCAAUAGGGAUAAAUUGUUCUUCAAGAUAAAAGCUGUUCAUUAAUAGAGUUUAUCUUGCAAUCUUGUAUACCAUGAAGCCAUCAUCAUCUCUUCUCAGUUGUACUGGGAAAAUGCAAUUGUUCUAAGACCAUUUGUUUUAAAGGUCUUUUGAGCAUUGUUUAAGAUAUCAUCUUCUUCAUAUGCUAAAUUUCUCAAGUAUCUAGCAAUUUUCAUUUUGAAAUUGAUGUCUGAAAUACAUGUGAAAAACAGCUAUCCAGACACCAUACCACAAAACAGCAACAAAAAUCCAAAAAAAAAAAAAAACAAACAAAAAAAAAAACAAAGAAAAACGUGGGGACAAGCCAACAGUGCUAUUUAGUUAUUUCAAAAGAUACUUCCAAGCCAUUGCAGCAUAUGCAGUGUGUCCUUUCUGACAGCUUGUCAAAGGGUAGGAACACACAUUGAAGAAAAGGAACUCCAGAACAUAUAUCCUUCAUGCAAGAAUAAAUGUCUCACUAAUAGUCACUGCUUUCUUUUAAAUAGGAAAACCUACAAAUCUUUCAUCAUGAAAGAAAAAAAAAGCCACAUUCGUAGACUUUACUAAGUCUAGCGAAGGGUUCUACUGAACUCACUUGUCUACAGUUCCACUGA